ACCUUCUGUGGUGUAGUUGGUAGCACCUUGACUUAAGAAGUCCUAGGUUCAAGUCCCAGUUGGGAUA